CUUGGGGCAGGGGGGUGGUGUCCCUCAGCCCAGAUUGUGAGAGAGUGAAAGCCAGGCUGAGGGACCCCACUGGUGCACG
rfam:Myotis brandtii contig218957, whole genome shotgun sequence.